rfam:Asian citrus Psyllid, Diaphorina citri - Florida Strain, whole genome shotgun sequence.
UCCUAGUUAGCUUAGUUGGUAGUGCGUCUGCCUUGUAAGCGCUAGGCCGCGGGUUCGAUUCCCGCCUGGGGC